AAGCCCAACUCUCUUUUUUUAUUUAUCUUUAAACCUAAUCUCCAAAAUACAAUACUUCAGCACUUGUAUUUAUACAUAAUCCCCCAAAUAUCCCUUGGCCCCGUAUAAACCAGUAUCUCUCCUCAUCUUACCCUUUUCAACUCAGCCCUAAAUUAAAAAAACGACAGCCCCUUUUGCCGCCAUCGCCCAUCCCUAGCCACUGUCGAACCUCUCCAGUCGCCGUCUUCGUUGCCGUCGCCCGCUGCCGUCAUUGUUGCCCAUCGCCCGCAAGGAGGUGAUCGUGGGUUUCGGUUUAGUUGAGCUGCGAAUUUGAUCGAGGGUUUUAGUUGAGGGAUUGGGGGUUGGUUGACGAAGGAUUUGAUCGGAGAACUUGUUGAAGGAGAAGAGAUUGACCUAGGUCGGUGUGGGAUGAGAGGUUGUUGAUCGAGGAUUUGUGUUGAGCUCCGAAUUUGAUCGAGGGUUUCAAUUGAGGGAUUGACGGUUGAUCGGACAAAACUUGUUAAUGGAGAGGAGGUCAAGGAAUCAAAGAAACCCACCUCUUUCAUGAGUAAGUUACUGAAAUUUGGAACGUUACAAUAAAGAUGAAUAUGUAAUCGGGAGUUAGAGUUUGGGUGGGGAGGGAAGUUUAUUACACUGGAAACUAAAAAGAGCGAUGACUAUUAACCUUGAAACAAAGCUGACUCCCUUGUCUUCGACCGCCGCCUCGCCGCCCUCGACACGAAGCUAUAUUGAUGUGUUGAUGUGUUUAUAAUGUACGGGGGCGAUUGGUGAGAUGUAAUUCACAUGAUGAGGUGAUAAAGUUUUUUUAAGAACUGGUUUUAUUUGGAUGCUA